AGACGUCUACAUUAGACUACCCGGUAGUCCCNGCCGUAAACUAUGCGCGUUAGGUGUAUCGGUGACCACGAGUCACCGAGGUGCCGAAGGGAAACCGUGAAACGUGCCGCCUGGGAAGUACGGUCGCAAGGCUGAAACUUAAAGGAAUUGGCGGGGAGCACCACAACGGGUGGAGCCUGCGGUUUAAUUGGACUCAACGCCGGGAAGCUCACCGGAUAAGACAGCGGAAUGAUUGCCGGGCUGAAGACUCUGCAUGACUAGCUG
rnacentral:rRNA from 1 species